rnacentral:lncRNA from 1 species
GGUGAUUCUGAUACACAGUAAGCUAUAUACCAGAGCUGGAGAGCGCAUGCUUCCUGUUUGACAAAGAGCUGAGCUGAACCAGUGAGAAGUAGGUCUCGGGAUAGGAAACAGGAUGCUGUGAGGUUCAUGGCAGAGAACUGGGGCCAGAGCUGGGACCCAGGGAAGAUGUCUAGGACAGGAAGGGCAGCAGUUACUUCUGGAUGCCAGACUGAGGAUUCCUUCAGUGCUGACACUGACAUCAAGGCGAGGACAAACCAGAUGCUCCUGGAGGUUACAGUUGAGUGGAGCCUGCUUAUAUUGGAGAUAUGGGGAACUGGGGAGCAAAGAACACACGCGCUCAAGAGUGAAGAAGCUGUCCCUGUGGAUAGCUUUCCCCGACAAGCAUACCGUCUCCAUCUCGUUUUUGAGAUUAAAACGGCCUUUUUAUUGGAAAAGGAGUGA